rnacentral:rRNA from 1 species
GACGAACUUUGGCGGCGUGCUUAACACAUGCAAGUCGAACGGAAAGGCCCUGCUUUUGUGGGGUGCUCGAGUGGCGAACGGGUGAGUAACACGUGAGUAACCUGCCCUUGACUUUGGGAUAACUUCAGGAAACUGGGGCUAAUACCGGAUAGGAGCUCCUGCUGCAUGGUGGGGGUUGGAAAGUUUCGGCGGUUGGGGAUGGACUCGCGGCUUAUCAGCUUGUUGGUGGGGUAGUGGCUUACCAAGGCUUUGACGGGUAGCCGGCCUGAGAGGGUGACCGGCCACAUUGGGACUGAGAUACGGCCCAGACUCCUACGGGAGGCAGCAGUGGGGAAUAUUGCACAAUGGGCGGAAGCCUGAUGCAGCAACGCCGCGUGCGGGAUGACGGCCUUCGGGUUGUAAACCGCUUUCGCCUGUGACGAAGCGUGAGUGACGGUAAUGGGUAAAGAAGCACCGGCUAACUACGUGCCAGCAGCCGCGGUGAUACGUAGGGUGCGAGCGUUGUCCGGAUUUAUUGGGCGUAAAGGGCUCGUAGGUGGUUGAUCGCGUCGGAAGUGUAAUCUUGGGGCUUAACCCUGAGCGUGCUUUCGAUACGGGUUGACUUGAGGAAGGUAGGGGAGAAUGGAAUUCCUGGUGGAGCGGUGGAAUGCGCAGAUAUCAGGAGGAACACCAGUGGCGAAGGCGGUUCUCUGGGCCUUUCCUGACGCUGAGGAGCGAAAGCGUGGGGAGCGAACAGGCUUAGAUACCCUGGUAGUCCACGCUGUAAACGGUGGGUACUAGGUGUGGGGUCCAUUCCACGGGUUCCGUGCCGUAGCUAACGCUCUAAGUACCCCGCCUGGGGAGUACGGCCGCAAGGCUAAAACUCAAAGGAAUUGACGGGGCCCCGCACAAGCGGCGGAGCAUGCGGAUUAAUUCGAUGCAACGCGUAGAACCUUACCUGGGUUUGACAUGGAUCGGGAGUGCUCAGAGAUGGGUGUGCCUCUUUUGGGGUCGGUUCACAGGUGGUGCAUGCCUGUCGUCAGCUCGUGUCGUGAGAUGUUGGGUUAAGUCCCGCAACGAGCGCAACCCUUGUUCACUGUUGCCAGCACGUUAUGGUGGGGACUCAGUGGAGACCGCCGGGGUCAACUCGGAGGAAGGUGGGGAUGACGUCAAGUCCUCAUGCCCCUUAUGUCCAGGGCUUCACGCAUGCCACAAUGGCUGGUACAGAGAGUGGCGAGCCUGUGAGGGUGAGCGAAUCUCGGAAAGCCGGUCUCAGUUCGGAUUGGGGUCUGCAACUCGACCCCAUGAAGUCGGAGUCGCUAGUAAUCGCAGAUCAGCAACGCUGCGGUGAAUACGUUCCCGGGGCU